rnacentral:rRNA from 1 species
GAUCAUGGCUCAGGACGAACGCUGGCGGCGUGCCUAAUACAUGCAAGUAGAACGCUGAAGGAGGAGCUUGCUCUUCUGGAUGAGUUGCGAACGGGUGAGUAACGCGUAGGUAACCUGCCUGGUAGCGGGGGAUAACUAUUGGAAACGAUAGCUAAUACCGCAUAAGAGUAGAUAUCGCAUGAUAGCUGCUUGAAAGGUGCAAUUGCACCACUACCAGAUGG